UCUUACGGGGGACAGCAGUAGGGAAUCUUCCACAAUGGGCGAAAGCCUGAUGGAGCAACGCCGCGUGGGUGAAGAAGGCCUUCGGAUCGUAAAACCAUGUUGUUAGAGAAGAAAGUGCGUGAGAGAAACUGUUCACGUUUCGACGGUAUCUAACCAGAAAGCCACGGCUAACUACGUGCAAGCAGCCGCGGAAAUACGUAGGUGGCAAGCGUUAUCCGGAUUUAUUGGGCGUAAAGGGAAGGCAGGCGGUCUUUUAAGUAUG
rnacentral:rRNA from 1 species